UCUUCUGCAGGGCAAUUUAUCUGUGGCAAUAGGCAUGGUGAUGAAAAACAUGGGCUAGGUAGUUAUGAGGUGAAUUUUUCUUAUGUUGAAGCAGGGGAGCAGAAACAAGCACUAGUGAAGCUGGUAGCUUGCAAGAGAUGUGCAGAAAAGAUUGCUUAUAAGAGCCUGAAGGAGAAAGAGAAAGAGGAGGAGGAUCCCUACGGUGAAAAGGAAAUUGAGUUGAAAGACAGGGACAAGAGAAAGAGGUAUCUUAAGUUCUUGUUCUUGUCCAACCCCGUUAUUUUGUUACACUACAUUCUUUGA
rnacentral:rRNA from 1 species